GGGUAGACUUAAAGAACAGUCUCGUUGAGAGGCACAGACGCUUUAGGGUUCCAUUCUGUUUAACAAGCUCCAUACAACAGAUUGACUGAGGCUGAGACAGAGACCAGGGAAACCUCUCAGGUCUUGUCUGCAUUACAUGGACACACAUCAGUUGCACAGCUGGAACAAACAGCUGGGAAAGCCUGUCUGGGGAGACGUCUGCCUGAGGUGACUGAUGAGCCAAGGGUGAGGAGUGGUCAUGCUUUGCAGCCCAGGCGCCUCCUGAAAAUGACAGCCUUCAAGUCAGAUCUAGCCUGAGAGGAACCUAGUGCCUGCCAGAGUCCCUUGCAAUGUUGCCUCUGCUAUAAAGAUUUAACUGAAGGGAAAUAACAUCGUCCAGGAGAUCUGGCCCAUAUGGUACUGCACAUCAUGGCUGGAGUCUCAGUUUCGACCAUUGUGUUGGCUGCCUGCUGCCCAGACUGAGUGGGGUGAACUCAGGACAGAGCCUUGCUUUGGCACGAAUACCUCUGCCUUCUCCUGCUGACACAUUCCCUCCACCACUCAAGAAUGCACAGAGCCCUUGCCAGGUUGAGAAUGGGCCUGACUAUGACAGCAGCGUUUGCAAAGUAAAGAGUCUAUUU